UACAGUCAUAUCACAUUGAAACACUGGUUCUCGUUUGAUCACCAAAGUUAAGCAACAUUGAGCCUGGUCAGCACUCCAAUGGGUAAACUCUACAGAAUGCCAGGUAUUGUAAG